CAUCGGGGAAAUGUAAGAAUGAAAAGGAGACAAGAAGUAGAUCUUCACGAAAAGAGCUAAAUUUGUACCUCUCUGAAAUGUUAUUUCUUAAACCAUUUUGGUUUUCCAUUCUUCUUAUUUGGUUCAUUGCUGCUACUUUUCCGUCCUCCUAAUA
rnacentral:ribozyme from 1 species